CCUACGGGAGGCAGCAGUGAGGAAUAUUGGUCAAUGGGCGUAAGCCUGAACCAGCCAAGUCGCGUGAGGGAUGAAGGUUCUAUGGAUCGUAAACCUCUUUUAUAAGGGAAUAAAGUGUGGGACGUGUCCUAUUUUGUAUGUACCUUAUGAAUAAGGAUCGGCUAACUCCGUGCCAGCAGCCGCGGUAAUACGGAGGAUCCGAGCGUUAUCCGGAUUUAUUGGGUUUAAAGGGUGCGUAGGCGGCCUUUUAAGUCAGCGGUGAAAGGCUGGGGCUCAACCCUAGAAGUGCCGUUGAAACUGGGGGGCUUGAGUAUGUGUGAGGCAGGCGGAAGGCGUGGUGUAGCGGUGAAAUGCUUAGAUAUCACGCAGAACCCCGAUUGCGAAGGCAGCCUGCCAGGCCAAGACUGACGCUGAGGCACGAAAGCGUGGGGAUCAAACAGGAGUAGAUACCCCAGUAGUC
rnacentral:rRNA from 1 species